rnacentral:rRNA from 1 species
AUUGAACGCUGGCGGCAUGCCUUACACAUGCAAGUCGAACGGCAGCACGGGAGCAAUCCUGGUGGCGGGUGGCGAACGGGUGAGUAAUAUAUCGGAACGUGCCCAGGCGUGGGGGAUAACGCAGCGAAAGCUGUGCUAAUACCGCAUACGAUCUACGGAUGAAAGCGGGGGAUCGCAAGACCUCGCGCGAUUGGAGCGGCCGAUAUCAGAUUGGCUAGUUGGUGAGGUAAAGGCUCACCAAGGCGACGAUCUGUGGCUGGUCUGAGAGGACGACCAGCCACAAUGGAACUGAGACAAGGUCCAGAAUGCUCCGGGAGGCAGCAGUGGGGAAUUUUGGACAAUGGGCGAAAGCCUGAUCCAGAAAUGCCGCGUGCAGGAUGAAGGCCUUCGGGUUGUGAACUGCUUUUGUACGGAAAGAAACGGUGGGCUCUAAUACAGUUUGCUAAUGACGGCACCGUAAGAAUAAGCACCGGCUAACUACGUGCCAGCCGCCGCGGUAA